UACGAAGGGGGCUAGCGUUGCUCGGAAUCACUGGGCGUAAAGGGUGCGUAGGCGGGUCUUUAAGUCAGAGGUGAAAUCCUGGAGCUCAACUCCAGAACUGCCUUUGAUACUGAAGAUCUUGAGUUCGGGAGAGGUGAGUGGAACUGCGAGUGUAGAGGUGAAAAUUCGUAGAUAUUCGCAAGAACACCAGUGGCGAAGGCGGCUCACUGGCCCGAUACUGACGCUGAGGCACGAAAGCGUGGGGAGCAAACAGG
rnacentral:rRNA from 1 species